CGGACGGGUGAGUAAUGUCUGGGAAACUGCCUGAUGGAGGGGGGAGUAACUACUGGAAACGGUAGCUAUACCGCAUAACGUCGCAAGACCAAAGAGGGGGACCUUCGGGCCUCUUGCCAUCGGAUGUGCCCAGAUGGGAUUAGCUAGUUGGUGAGGUAAUGGCUCACCAAGGCGACGAUGCGUAGCCGACCUGAGAGGGUGAUCGGCCACAUUGGGACUGAGACACGGCCCAGACUCCUACGGGAGGCAGCAUG
rnacentral:rRNA from 1 species